AGUUUGAUCCUGGCUCAGAGCGAACGCUGGCGGCGUGCUUAACACAUGCAAGUCGAGUGCGCGUACCGUAGCAAUACGGUAUGGCGCACGGCGCACGGGUGCGUAACACGUGGGUAAUCUGCCCUUCGAUGGGGAAUAACUCCGGGAAACCGAAGCUAAUUCCGCAUAACAUUCCUUGAACCUCGGUUUGGGGACUCAAAGCCGUAAGGCGUCGGAGGAGGAACCCGCGCACGAUUAGUUAGUUGGCAGGGUAACGGCCUACCAAGACUUUGAUCGUUAGCUGGUCUGAGAGGAUGGCCAGCCACACUGGAACUGAGACACGGUCCAGACUCCUACGGGAGGCAGCAGUGGGGAAUCUUGCACAAUGGGCGAAAGCCUGAUGCAGCGACGCCGCGUGGGGGAUGAAGCUUUUCGGAGUGUAAACCCCUUUCGACCCGGACGAAUGCCCCGCAAGGGGACUGACGGUACGGGUAUAAGAAGCCCCGGCUAACUACGUGCCAGCAGCCGCGGUAAGACGUGGGGGGCCAGCGUUGCUCGGAAUUACUGGGUGUAAAGGGUUCGUAGGCGGUGUGGCAAGUCGGGAGUGAAAUCUCUGGGCUUAACCCAGAGACUGCUUCCGAAACUGCUGUGCUUGAGUGUGGGAGAGGCGCGUGGAAUUGCAGGUGUAGCGGUGAAAUGCGUAGAUAUCUGCAGGAACACCCGUGGCGAAAGCGGCGCGCUGGACCACUACUGACGCUGAGGAACGAAAGCUAGGGGAGCAAACAGGAUUAGAUACCCUGGUAGUCCUAGCCCUAAACGAUCAGGACUUGGGGUGCCGCACGUUCGUGCGUCGUCCCGGAGCUAACGCGUUAAGUCCUGCACCUGGGGAGUACGGUCGCAAGACUGAAACUCAAAGGAAUUGACGG
rnacentral:rRNA from 1 species